rnacentral:ncRNA from 1 species
GAAUUUAAUUUUGGUUCAGAUUGAACGUUAUUCAGUAGUUUUAGACAUGCAAAUCAUUGUUUCCAAUUUUUUUAAAAAAGGAAAUAAGGUGUAGAGGUGAGUACAGGUAAAUAAGAUGCCCUUUAGUCCUCGUAAAUAGGGGAUAAGGUAAAGGAAAUUUAUCCGCUAAAGGAUUCUAUUUAUUUCGAUUAGGUAGUUGGUAGGGUAACGGCCUAACCAAGCCAACGAUCGAUAGCUAAGCUUGAGAGAGUCUAUGGCCACAUUGGGAAUGAAAUCUCCUAAGUAGUUUACAAAAACUACCAGCAGUCGAGAAUCUUAGUCAAUGCUCGAAAGAGUGAACUAGCUAACUGAAAUCAAACAUUUUUUUUAAAUGUAAAAAAUGAGAUGUCGUAGGGGAAAAUAAUGAUACUACCCUACUAAUAGUGUUGUCCAAAACUGGUGCCAGAAGACUCGGUCAGACCAGGAACGCAAACGUUAAUCGUAAUAAACAGGCGUAAAGGGUAAGUAGGCUGCUUCAAUUGAAUGCUAGAAUCAAAAAUAGGAUGUAUUAGAGAAUGCUUAGAGUAGGGUUUGAAUCCUCAGAUACUAAGUGGAAUUCUAAGGGCGUAAGCUUUUAUUCGCUAAUGAUUGACGCUGAGGAACGAAGGGUUGGAUAGGAAACAGGAUUAGAUACCCCAGUACCCCUUCUCCGCGAACGAUGAAUGGUCGUCACUAAUAAAAUUCUUUUUUAGUGACAAUGCUAACGCGAUUACCAUUCCGCC